rnacentral:rRNA from 1 species
ACAUGCAAGCUCGAGCGAAUGCGAUGGGAGCUUGCUCCCUGAGCAUUAGCGGCGGUACGGGUGAGUAACACGUGGGCAACCUGCCUAUAAGACUGGGAUAACUUCGGGAAACCGGAGCUAAUACCGGAUACGUUCUUUUCUCGCAUGAGAGAAGAUGGAAAGACGGUUUACGCUGUCACUUAUAGAUGGGCCCGCGGCGCAUUAUNUAGUUGGUGAGGUAAUGGCUCACCAAGGCGACGAUGCGUAGCCGACCUGAGAGGGUGAUCGGCCACACUGGGACUGAGACACGGCCCAGACUCCUACGGGAGGCAGCAGUAGGGAAUCUUCCGCAAUGGACGAAAGUCUGACGGAGCAACGCCGCGUGAACGAAGAAGGCCUUCGGGUCGUAAAGUUCUGUUGUUAGGGAAGAACAAGUACCAGAGUAACUGCUGGUACCUUGACGGUACCUAACCAGAAAGCCACGGCUAACUACGUGCCAGCAGCCGCGGUAAUACGUAGGUGGCAAGCGUUGUCCGGAAUUAUUGGGCGUAAAAGCGCGCGCAGGUGGUUCCCUUAAGUCUGAUGUGAAAGCCCACGGCUCAACCGUGGGAGGGUCAUUGGAAACUGGGGAACUUGAGUUGCAGAACUAAGAAAGUGGAAAUUCCAAGUGUAGCGGUGAAAUGCGUAAAAAUUUGGAGGAACACCAUUGGCCGAAGCGAACUUCCUUGUCUGUACUUGACACUUGAGGCGCGAAA